rnacentral:rRNA from 1 species
GUCGCAAGACCAAAGUGGGGGACCUUCGGGCCUCAUGCCAUCAGAUGUGCCCAGAUGGGAUUAGCUAGUAGGUGGGGUAACGGCUCACCUAGGCGACGAUCCCUAGCUGGUCUGAGAGGAUGACCAGCCACACUGGAACUGAGACACGGUCCAGACUCCUACGGGAGGCAGCAGUGGGGAAUAUUGCACAAUGGGCGCAAGCCUGAUGCAGCCAUGCCGCGUGUGUGAAGAAGGCCUUCGGGUUGUAAAGCACUUUCAGCGGGGAGGAAGGCGGUGAGGUUAAUAACCUCAUCGAUUGACGUUACCCGCAGAAGAAGCACCGGCUAACUCCGUGCCAGCAGCCGCGGUAAUACGGAGGGUGCAAGCGUUAAUCGGAAUUACUGGGCGUAAAGCGCACGCAGGCGGUCUGUCAAGUCGGAUGUGAAAUCCCCGGGCUCAACCUGGGAACUGCAUUCGAAACUGGCAGGCUAGAGUCUUGUAGAGGGGGGUAGAAUUCCAGGUGUAGCGGUGAAAUGCGUAGAGAUCUGGAGGAAUACCGGUGGCGAAGGCGGCCCCCUGGACAAAGACUGACGCUCAGGUGCGAAAGCGUGGGGAGCAAACAGGAUUAGAUACCCUGGUAGUCCACGCCGUAAACGAUGUCGAUUUGGAGGUUGUGCCCUUGAGGCGUGGCUUCCGGAGCUAACGCGUUAAAUCGACCGCCUGGGGAGUACGGCCGCAAGGUUAAAACUCAAAUGAAUUGACGGGGGCCCGCACAAGCGGUGGAGCAUGUGGUUUAAUUCGAUGCAACGCGAAGAACCUUACCUGGUCUUGACAUCCACAGAACUUUCCAGAGAUGGAUUGGUGCCUUCGGGAACUGUGAGACAGGUGCUGCAUGGCUGUCGUCAGCUCGUGUUGUGAAAUGUUGGGUUAAGUCCCGCAACGAGCGCAACCCUUAUCCUUUGUUGCCAGCGGUCCGGCCGGGAACUCAAAGGAGACUGCCAGUGAUAAACUGGAGGAAGGUGGGGAUGAC